rnacentral:pre_miRNA from 1 species
GGUGAAUUUGGAUGUCGGUGAAUCGGAUACAAAUCAUAUCUCUAGUGGAUUUGUACCCGAUUCACCGACACUUUAAAACAAUGACA